rnacentral:rRNA from 1 species
GAUGAACGCUGGCGGCGUGCCUAAUACAUGCCAGUCGAGCGAACAGAUAAGGAGCUUGCUCCUUUGACGUUAGCGGCGGACGGGUGAGUAACACGUGGGUAACUUACCUAUAAGACUGGAAUAACUCCGGGAAACCGGGGCUAAUGCCGGAUAACAUGUUGAACCGCAUGGUUCUACAGUGAAAGGCGGCUUUGCUGUCACUUAUAGAUGGACCCGCGCCGUAUUAGCUAGUUGGUGAGGUAACGGCUCACCAAGGCAACGAUACGUAGCCGACCUGAGAGGGUGAUCGGCCACACUGGAACUGAGACACGGUCCAGACUCCUACGGGAGGCAGCAGUAGGGAAUCUUCCGCAAUGGGCGAAAGCCUGACGGAGCAACGCCGCGUGAGUGAUGAAGGUCUUCGGAUCGUAAAACUCUGUUAUUAGGGAAGAACAAAUGCGUAAGUAACUGUGCGCGUCUUGACGGUACCUAAUCAGAAAGCCACGGCUAACUACGUG